GGACAUUUUAACCACAGGAGAAAAAGUGUCAGUGAAAUCAACCCCUUCAAUUUGAGUAUCCCCUCUAAUAACAAGUCUGGCUUUGUGCCUUUCAACACUACCAUCAGCCUUAUACUUGAUUUUAUAAACCCAUUUGCAGCCAAUUGGUUUCUUACUAGAAGGAAGGGGAACAAUAUCCCAGGUACAGUUGGCAUCCAAAGCAUCAAACUCCUUUCUCAUGGCAUCUUGCAAAACUGGAACUGAUGCAGCUUGAGAGUAGUAAAGAGGUUCAAUCUCCAGAGGAGAAGAAGAAGACCCAAAGAAAGCAGGAAGGUGGCAAACAUAAUCCUUAAGGUAAGAAGGAGGAUUGUGCUUUCUUCCAGAUUUCCUGGGAACACCAGUUGAUGUGGAAGAAGUAAAGCAGGAGGUGAGAUGUCAGGGUUGAAAGGAGGACUGGAAAUUGGAUAUGAAUAAGGAGAAACUGGAACAGAAGGUGAAGGUGGAGAGGAAGAUAUGGGAAUAGAGAAAUCUGGCUUAGAAAGGGAAUGCUCAAGAGGAGGAACAUAAUGAAAAGAAGAAGGAAAAAUAGGAGGAGCAGACAGAUUUGAAAGGAAAAGAAGUUUCACAAAAAAUAACAUCCCUGGACACAAAGCACUUUUUGGAACUGAGAUCAUACAGUCUAUAACCCUUUUAGCAAAAGGAUACCCCAGGAAAACACAUGAAAUGGCCCUAGGCUUUAACUUGUCCCUUUGAGGAAUUGGGACAGUAGCAUAGGAAAGGCAGCCAAAUGUUCUCAAAUGAAAAUAGGUUGGAGCUUUCCCAUACAAGAUUUCAUGAGGAGAUUUAUUGUGAAGAAAUCUGGUGGGUAUUCUGUUAAAAGGCAGCCAAAAGCCUUUAAAUGGGAGUAAGUGGGUGUCUUACCAUGCAAGAUUUCAUAAGGGGACUUACCAUGAAGGAGCCUAGAGGGUAUUCUGUUAAUAAGAUAGGUAGCAGUUAAUAGGCAAUCACCCCAAAAAGAGAUAGGUAAACCAGACUGGAAGAGUAAAGCUCUACAUGUUUCAAGAAGAGUUCUAUGUUUUCUCUCAACAACACCAUUCUGUUGAGGAGUAUGUGGGCAAGUGGUU
rnacentral:lncRNA from 1 species